GACGAACGCUGGCGGCGUGCUUAACACAUGCAAGUCGAACGGAAAGGCCUGCAGCUUGCUGCGGGUACUCGAGUGGCGAACGGGUGAGUAACACGUGGGUGAUCUGCCUUGCACUUCGGGAUAAGCUUGGGAAACUGGGUCUAAUACCGGAUAGGACAGCUGUUUAGUGUCAGUUGUGGAAAGUUUUUUCGGUGCAAGAUGAGCUCGCGGCCUAUCAGCUUGUUGGUGGGGUAAUGGCCUACCAAGGCGUCGACGGGUAGCCGGCCUGAGAGGGUGUACGGCCACAUUGGGACUGAGAUACGGCCCAGACUCCUACGGGAGGCAGCAGUGGGGAAUAUUGCACAAUGGGCGGAAGCCUGAUGCAGCGACGCCGCGUGGGGGAUGAAGGCCUUCGGGUUGUAAACUCCUUUCGACAGGGACGAAGCGUAAGUGACGGUACCUGUAUAAGAAGCGCCGGCUAACUACGUGCCAGCAGCCGCGGUAAUACGUAGGGUGCGAGCGUUGUCCGGAAUUACUGGGCGUAAAGAGCUCGUAGGUGGUUUGUCGCGUCGUCUGUGAAAUUCCGGGGCUUAACUCCGGGCGUGCAGGCGAUACGGGCUGACUUGAGUGCUGUAGGGGAGACUGGAAUUCCUGGUGUAGCGGUGAAAUGCGCAGAUAUCAGGAGGAACACCGAUGGCGAAGGCAGGUCUCUGGGCAGUAACUGACGCUGAGGAGCGAAAGCAUGGGUAGCGAACAGG
rnacentral:rRNA from 1 species